GAGACCAUAUUAUAGAAAACAAUCACAAGGUGAAUAAAGUCAUUCUAGUUAGUGGAAAACAUUAUUAUGCACUUAAUAAUUAUCGAGAAAGUACUGGGAAUAAAAAUGUAGCUAUUAUCAGAAUAGAAAGUCUAUGUCCAUUCCCUGCCUACGAAUUACUGGAAGAAAUUAGAAAAUACAAAAAUGCAAAAAUUUUUAUUUGGAGCCAAGAAGAACCGCGAAACAUGGGUGCAUGGAAUUUUGUCAAACCACAUUUUGAAAAUUUGUGUGGACGACAAAUGAAUCAUCCGAAGUCUGUCUACAAGGUGAAACUAUUAAGCACGUGGCUUGGAGCUUCAGGAAAACUAGUAAACAUAAUCUGAUGCAAAAAAAGUAGCAAACUGAUGUAAGGGACUGUUUAGAGAAGAGACGAUAAUUCUCAAGAGACAGUCAAGCUUAUGUUAUCUUGGGAAGACCAUAAGCUUGUGGUAAGACUCCAUCAGUAACCAAUAAGGAUUUGUAUGUAGAGUCUGAGAUGUAAUUAUGUUUUUUCCAUUUUUUAAAAAAAUACUCAAGUAUUAGAUAAUUUUUUAGUGAGAUUGUUUUUAACAAAUUGGUAAGUCUUAAUACCAUCAAGAAUUGCAAGCAUUUUACAUAGGUAUUUGUCCUUGUCAGUGGCAUUAUCUUUAUCAGCACGAGUGAGGAUAAAAUUUGGAUUAUUCUUGAAACAAUUUUUUGUAAUAAUUGAGAUCUCUUUAAACCAUGAGUGAGUAUGAUUAUUAGGUGUUAACCUGGUUUACGUUCUUAAGAAUAAAUUAUUUACGUACGUUCAAACAGUGCCA